rnacentral:lncRNA from 1 species
UGUACAAAUUUUGAGUUGAUAUCAAAAAAUAUAUCAAUGAUUUGAUCAUUAGUUGUUAAGGUUUCAAUUUGCUGUAGGAUUUGUUAAGAAUUUAUUUAAGAUGUAGAAUUUGAUUAGGAUUUGCUUAGGAUUUGAUUUAAGAUUUAUCUAAGAUUUAAGAUUCAUCAAGAUUUUAUUAGGGUUUGACCUAGGAUUUAAUUAAGGUUCAAUUUGGCUUUUAAAUAGGAUUUGACUUAAGAAUUGAUUAAGAUUUGUUAAGAUUUUAGUUACAAUUAAAUUAAAGUUUGAUUAGGAUUUAU